rnacentral:rRNA from 1 species
CCUACGGGGGACAGCAGUGGGGAAUAUUGGGCAAUGGGCGCAAGCCUGAUGCAGCAACGCCGCGUGAAGGAAGAAGGCUUUCGGGUUGUAAACUUCUUUUCUCAGGGACGAAGAAAGUGACGGUACCUGAGGAAUAAGCCACGGCUAACUACGUGCCAGCAGCCGCGGUAAUCCGUAGGUGGCAAGCGUUAUCCGGAUUUACUGGGGGCAAAGGUCGUGGAGGCGGGACUGCAAGUCAGAUGUGAAAACCACGGGCUCAACCGGUGGCCUGCAUUUGAUACUGUUGUUCGUGAGUACUGGAGAGGCAGACGGAAUUCCUAGUGUAGCGGUGAAAUGCGUAGAUAUUAGGAGGAACACCAGUGGCGAAGGCGGUCUGCUGGACAGCAACUGACGCUGAGGCGCGAAAGCGUGGGGAGCAAACAGGAUUAGAUACCCCUGUAGUC